rfam:Macaca mulatta chromosome 3, whole genome shotgun sequence.
AUCCCUUCUAGGUCUUUUGGUUAAGACCAAGUGUAGGAUCUGUUUUUAUCAGUUUAAUAUCUGGUAUGUCCUUUAUCCCAGGACAAUAUAUGAAGUGGAUUUUUGGAGCAGGGAGAUGGUUGAAAAUAAUACACCAUGCUUAACUUUGACCAUUUGCUCCUGCUAAUCAGAUGUUCUGCAUAAAACUGGCAAUUGGGUAAUGAUUUU